rnacentral:rRNA from 1 species
AGCGAACGCUGGCGGCAGGCUUAACACAUGCCAGUCGAGCGGGCACUUUCGGGUGUCAGCGGCGGACGGGUGAGUAACGCGUGGGAACGUGCCCUCUGGUUCGGAAUAACUCAGGGAAACUUGAGCUAAUACCGGAUACGCCCUUUUGGGGAAAGGCUUGCUGCCGGAGGAUCGGCCCGCGUCUGAUUAGCUAGUUGGUGAGGUAACGGCUCACCAAGGCGACGAUCAGUAGCUGGUCUGAGAGGAUGAUCAGCCACACUGGGACUGAGACACGGCCCAGACUCCUACGGGAGGCAGCAGUGGGGAAUAUUGGACAAUGGGCGCAAGCCUGAUCCAGCCAUGCCGCGUGAGUGAUCAAGGCCUUAGGGUUGUAAAGCUCUUUUAUCCGGGACGAUAAUGACGGUACCGGAGGAAUAAGCCCCGGCUAACUUCGUG